rnacentral:rRNA from 1 species
AUUGAACGAGGGAGGAAGGAAGAACACAUGCAAGUCGAGCGGAUGAAGGGAGCUUGCUCCUGGAUUCAGCGGCGGACGGGUGAGUAAUGCCUAGGAAUCUGCCUGGUAGUGGGGGAUAACGUCCGGAAACGGGCGCUAAUACCGCAUACGUCCUGAGGGAGAAAGUGGGGGAUCUUCGGACCUCACGCUAUCAGAUGAGCCUAGGUCGGAUUAGCUAGUUGGUGGGGUAAAGGCCUACCAAGGCGACGAUCCGUAACUGGUCUGAGAGGAUGAUCAGUCACACUGGAACUGAGACACGGUCCAGACUCCUACGGGAGGCAGCAGUGGGGAAUAUUGGACAAUGGGCGAAAGCCUGAUCCAGCCAUGCCGCGUGUGUGAAGAAGGUCUUCGGAUUGUAAAGCACUUUAAGUUGGGAGGAAGGGCAGUAAGUUAAUACCUUGCUGUUUUGACGUUACCAACAGAAUAAGCACCGGCUCACUUCGUC